GCUCGGCGUGCUGGUGACGACAAUUGCGGUACCCACGUUAGCCUCGCUUUGGGUGGUGGUCGUCGCUCCACUCUGGGCGGAAACUGCCACCUUCCCUCACAUCUUUACUCAUGGUUAUUCAGUGGCUGUGCUCUCCUUAACAGCCUCGGUGCACACCGUAGUACUUGGCGACCACACGAGGCGCGCCCGCCGAUUUCACGCGCGGCUGCAGCGGGCUCUCAGAAUGCCUCAAUCUGGAACGGUCCUUCGCUACAUGCGGUUAUCUUGGCUUCAGCUCCGUGCCGAGUCGAGAGACGCGAUUGCUUUUCCACUGACCAGCCUCCUAUGGCAUUGUGAAAUGCUGGUGCAUAGCACGGCGUGUGCCUACGAGUCCGUCCUCUUUGCCCAACGACGUAAUUGGGUAUCAUGCGCAGUCAUGGUCACUCUCUUUCUGUACUUCUACAUCGGGACUUUGGCAGUC